AGUGAACGCUGGCGGUAGGCCUAACACAUGCAAGUCGAACGGCAGCACAGUAAGAGCUUGCUCUUACGGGUGGCGAGUGGCGGACGGGUGAGGAAUACAUCGGAAUCUACUUUUUCGUGGGGGAUAACGUAGGGAGACUUACGCUAAUACCGCAUACGACCUACGGGUGAAAGCAGGGGAUCUUCGGACCUUGCGCGAUUGAAUGAGCCGAUGUCGGAUUAGCUAGUUGGCGGGGUAAAGGCCCACCAAGGCGACGAUCCGUAGCUGGUCUGAGAGGAUGAUCAGCCACACUGGAACUGAGACACGGUCCAGACUCCUACGGGAGGCAGCAGUGGGGAAUAUUGGACAAUGGGCGCAAGCCUGAUCCAGCCAUACCGCGUGGGUGAAGAAGGCCUUCGGGUUGUAAAGCCCUUAUGUUGGGAAAGAAAAGCAGCAGGUUAAUACCCCGCUGUUCUGACGGUACCCAAAGAAUAAGCACCGGCUAACUUCGUG
rnacentral:rRNA from 1 species